UCAUUGGUGGUUCAGUGGUAGAAUUCUCACCUUCUAUGUGGGAGACUUGGGUUCGAUUUUCUCCCAAUGCA
rnacentral:tRNA from 1 species